rnacentral:rRNA from 1 species
AACGAACGCUGGCGGCAGGCCUAACACAUGCAAGUCGAACGCCCCGCAAGGGGAGUGGCAGACGGGUGAGUAACACGUGGGAACGUACCCUUCGGUUCGGGAUAACUCAGGGAAACUUGAGCUAAUACCGGAUACGUCCGAGAGGAGAAAGAUUUAUCGCCGAGGGAUCGGCCCGCGUCUGAUUAGCUUGUUGGUGAGGUAACGGCUCACCAAGGCGACGAUCAGUAGCUGGUCUGAGAGGAUGAUCAGCCACAUUGGGACUGAGACACGGCCCAAACUCCUACGGGAGGCAGCAGUGGGGAAUAUUGGACAAUGGGCGCAAGCCUGAUCCAGCCAUGCCGCGUGAGUGAUGAAGGCCCUAGGGUUGUAAAGCUCUUUUACCCGGGAAGAUAAU